AUUUGGCUGGGUUCAUGUUUUCCUUUGUCACAAGAGUUGCUUGCAUUAUUUCUUCCAACAUUUGAGACACCACUUUGAAGUAGAUGCUGUUGGCAGUUAGAGUGGUCUUGCCCGCUGGCUGACAUGCUGUUUAUUCCGUUUGACACUGCCUAAAUAGGACCAAAAAAGGGGAAAUCAAGUAAACCACGCUUCCACGUUCAAGUCAUUUACACCAAGAUCCCGGAGAAUGGAAGUGUUAUGGAAAAUGGUGUCUUCAAUUAUUUAUACUGCCAAAUAACCUAUACUGCCAAAUACCCUAUGCUGUAAUGAUGGCUGGAAUAAUGAAUCGAUGCAAAAUAUCAGGAAUGAUAUCCAAACCAAAGUAUUAUCGAUUGAAUGCUGCAAGAUUAUGUAUUCGGCUAGACAGCAUUGUCACAGUGCUGAAUAUGCUGCAUACUCCCACGUCAUUCGCAUGAGAUCGUCAUCAUUCUUGACAAUUGGAAAACGAAUCUACUACUUACUACACUUUUCUUGCAAAAAAUCGAGGAGCCCGUUGCAUGGUUGUGAAAAUGCUGGUGGCUAAUGCCAAGGACGUAAAUAUAUCACAACGAGUAGAUAAUAUAUCAAUUCUAACAAAAGCCUUCGAUGCUUUCCUAUUGCCAGCACGACAGCACACUCAACGUUACGACACUUAUUUGAUAUGCCAGUGAAAUGAGAAGAAGAAGAAGGAGCUCGAGAGAAAAAAGAAUAUUUCUGCUCCUCGGUCGGAUUCUCGAGUUUCAAUCAAAUUGGCCCAAGCCAAAAACAAAUAUUGUUUUAAGUUUUGGCUGUGUUUUAAUUGAUCCAGGAUAAGGACAUUUUUGGUGCAGUGGCUUCUUUGUCGUGUAGCUUAGCCAUGUCGCUUAUAUAAAUUUUCUAUAUUCUGGUGAAUUUCCGAUAUUUGUCCUUAAUUUGAAUAUUAACA